GGGGGCGAACAGGACUCGACGGGGACUGGAAAGCGCAGGUGGCACGCCGAGGGUUCCCGGUACCUCGUAAAUCCACGGGACGCUUAAAACAAGCGCCAACACUGAACUUGCUCUGGCUGCUUAACUAAAAGCGGUCCGUCCCCUUCGCCCCGCCCGUGGGGUGGAGUCAGGACGUCAAUGGACGCGGGCUGGUCCCGCGUUGCCGGCCCGGCAGCGCGCGACGAGAUCAAAGGGCUGGCGGACGCCGAACCUGCCCUUCGGUGCGGCCGACGCGAGAUCCAAAAGAAGCGGCUAAGCGUGUAGAAGCCUGUUGCCGACCUUCCUCGGACGCGGGUUCGAUUCCCGCCGCCUCCACCA
rnacentral:tmRNA from 1 species